UCCCAAGCAGGCUCCACACUGUCCGGACUCGGGGCUCAGACUCAUGAAACCGUUGAGAUCAUGACCUGAGCCGAAACCAAGAGUUGGAUGCUUAACCAACGGAGCCACCCAGGUACCCCUAGGACAAGAUAUAUCUUUAGCUUACCAGCAAUAUAAGUCAUGUUCUCUGAGUCUCCGUUUCCACAUCGGAAACAUGGGCAUAAUAACACUGCGUACAGCUAUCAUGAAGAGAUAAUGAACGAUUCAAAGAGGUAACUUAGUGCCUGCCACAUAGCAGGUGCCCAAUCAAUAUUAGCUAUUACUUUUAUUGUAUUUAUUCAAAAGUAAACUAAGUCUCUCCUUUCCAGGUAUAAAUAUAAGCUGGCCAAAAAUAGCAUUUAAAAAAUGUGUAAGAGGACACAGACGUUUUCUAAGGGAGAGGGCAGUUUCGGUUUCCCCUCAGUGGUCCUCGCACUGUGUGGAGGAGAGGAGAGGAACCUGUCUCUGGUUGUGGGUACCAUGUUGUAGGAAACGGUUUGGGGGAGGGGCCGCAUGAGUUUCUCUCAACGUGGCUGCUCAGUGACGCUCACCUACAUUCAGCUUUAGGAAGGGGCUCCACACUGUAGCACAGACCUGGUACUUCCCCCACACUGUCGGAGAGCCUGUACCCGGACACAUGGGAGGCUCCCACACAGGCCUGCGUGACUGCCCCCCCCCCCCCGCCACCCCUUCCUGGGAAGGGGAAGGGUGGGCAAGCUCUGUGACUCACUCCCUGGCUCUGUGCCCUCUCGCUGAGUCACAAUGUAAUUGAUCCCUCCCUGCGCCAGGUUUCUACUCUCAUGUGACCCAAAGCAGGGUCAUUUCCAGACCAGGGUUGGGGAGGCCUGGCUGGGGAGAGGCAAUCCCGGGAAGGAGGGGCAGACCAUCAGAACCGAGGAUGGCACUGAGCCUUAACAUCACACAUCCAUUUUGGAUACUCCGGGAGCCAGGUCAGGGGACCUCCUAAAGCCCUGCAGCUCUGAAACUCUAUGAAAAUUCAUCUCCUUGUUUCCUAUCUAAUUUAAAUCUUGCAAUCACCGCUGGGAAGUGAGCUGUAUCAUCUUGAGAAAUCAGACCACAGAGUCGGGCCUGCAGCUGGCAGGCUAGGUCAUCUUUAAUCGCUUAACCCUUCAUAUCAAAGGAUGGGUUGUAGCAGCAGAUUCUUCCUCAAGAAUUUGCCGUGGCAGAUUUUCUCAAGGAAAAGCUGGGAGUUAAAAUGAAGCAGAGUAUGUACAGCAAAAACCUUGCCUUAAAUGCACAUUAACAAGUCAAGUGUGGGCAGUGCUGGCGUUCUCCAGUGAUACUUUACUGAGGCCUUGGAUAGAAAGCCAAGAAGAAACCAGCCCAGGGAGGAUGCUGAGGAUGCUGCACUGUGACUUGCUCCUCAGCAGCGAAAGGAUUCCCCUCAUCCCCGCUUCUAGCUCGUCUUCAUGGGGUGGGCAUCACUUCCGCACCUGUUACCCAGGAGCGCACCCCGGGCAUCUUGACUCCUUGAAGAACAGUACCUAUGAAAUGCGGCUCUGAGAGAAACAAGAUUCUCUUCGCUGCCUGAGGCCUGCCUUUCGGGAACCUGCCACCUCUUUGGAUAAUUGACUCUAGGGAUGCUUGUCCCUCUCAAGGGAGACCACGUGCACUUCCAGGGACAAGACUUUUACCCUGCAGACCACAACAGGGUAUCCGGAUGUAAUUAUAAUGAUUGGCCUAAUCGAGAUGGCUCUACUCACAUGUAAAAGCAGAGGUUGUGUGAGAAAAUUCUGUGUGUGUGUGUGUGUGUGUGUGUGUGUGUGUAAAUGCAAGAAUGUUGGCUCAGAAGUCAGGGCACAUGACUUUUACAGUUCCAGCUCCAGUCCUAUCUUUUUAAACAAAUUUUUAAAUAGUUUUUAUUUAUUUAUUCAUUUAAGUGAUCAGUACACCCAACAUGGAGCUUAAAUUCACAAUCCCAAGAUCAAGAGUUGCACGCUCUUCUAACUGAGCCAGCCAGGCACCCCAGCUCCAGUCCUGCCUUACAAGAAAUUUCUACUCGGUGUGACCUGAGGGAGCUUAGGGUAGAACCUAAUCUGCUAUUAAUACCAGUCCUUUGGGUCUGAAGGACAUUUUUUUUUUUUUCUAAGAAUCCUGUCUUAACACAGAGGAAUACUCAAACUCCUUUGUUCUUGGUUAACUCCUAAGUGGAAGUUAGCAGACAAGGCAGGGGGUGGAUGCUUUGGAGAUACUAGGGAACUCUGAUGCACAUGUGGACACCAGGGCUUAUUACACUUCAUACUUUAGGUUGUAUCCAGGCCUGGACCUGCCCAGCUUUCUUGCAAAUAAAUACAUGUCACAUACUGCUCAAAAGCAUGUGCUACAUCAGUUAGGUCAGAGGCUCAAUAUGACUGAUCUUUCUUCUUUUUGUUUUCAUGUGGUAGAUUUAAGGAUAUUAUGUGUAGGAGAGAAAAAAAUGAUUGGAUUAAGUAUAAUUAACAUGAAAGAUAUAUUAGCAUAUAAUAUACAUAUAACAUAUAAUAUAGUAUAUUAACAUAUAAUAAUUAAGUAUAUUAUUAUUAACAUGAAAAUAACUGGCCUUAUUAAGUACUGGCAAUUGCCAAGCCCUAUAUGAAGCCCCUUAUCCAAUAUUAUUUAUCCAAUAAUCCAGUAGUAGAAUUACUAUUCCAGUUUUCCAGAUAAGGAAGCUGAGAUCCUUAACUAAAAGGUUGAACUGUCUCAUCUAUGGUUGCUGCUAAGUGUUGGAAGUAAACCUGAAUAUAGCAGGCCUGUCUGGUGUUAAAGCACUGCCUUUAUUUUUACUUAAAUUUAUUUUGAACUAUUUCAAUCACACAGAAAACUUUAGAGAACAACACAAUAGACACUCAUGUUCCUAUCACCCAAUGUUAUUAGAUCUUAAUAUUCUGUCAUACUUGCUUUAUAUUUCAGGGUAUUUUUUAAAGGUAGGAAAUUUGUCUUUUUAAAAUUUGUGUGUAGAAAUUCUUUGUAGAGUCUGGAUGUUAAUUAUAUGAGUUGCAAUUUAUUUAUGAUAAGCAGAAAGUUUGCAUUUAUUUAAAUGUAAUCAACUGUUUACGGUUGAGCUUUUUAGUCUUGUUAGGAUUUUUUCUGGUUAGUGAUUGGUGGGUCUUAUUUUUGAAAUGUUUUUCUUUGUUAUUACCAAGAUAGCCUCCUUUUUCAGUUUUUUAGAGCGUUUCUUCCCACACCUAUCUGGAAUUUAAUGUUUGUGAAUACAGUGAAGUGGAGAUCUACUUUCAUCCUUCCAAGAUGGAGCAGGGCUUACCCCAGGACACUUCAUUCACCCUCGUUCUCCUCUGUGCCGUAUGAAAGUGGCUUCUCUGCUCUGUGUUCUGUCUCAUUGUUCUGUGGUCUGGGGCUGUGCCAGCACCAAACUAUUGCUUUGUUAGAAAACUCGAUAUGGGCAGGGCACAUCUCUUCAUGUCAUUCUUCUGCUUGUCCUUAGGUAAUUUGGACUUCUUACUCAUGCAUGUUAGGAUCAGCUUGUGUAGCUCCAUAAAAAGCCCCAUCAGAAUUUGGAUUGUAAUUUCAUUGAAUUAAUAUAUUAAUUUGGGGGUGGAAUUGAGCCUUUAUACAAUCGAGCCUUCCCAGGCCUGCACACAGUAUAGCUUUCCAUUUGUGGGAGUUUCUUUCAUGAUUCCCAGUAACAUUUUAGAAAAUUUCUCUAUAAAGUUCUUACGAAGAUUUUUUUCACUUUUAUUCUUGAGGAGUUCAUCAUUUUUCUUGCUGUUGUAAAUGAGAUAUUUUUCCUAUUAUUUCUUCACAUUAGCGUAUAGGAACGUUGUUAGCUCUUUAAAGAUUGCUUUUUAUACAUGAGAAUUGCUUAAUUUUCUUAUUUGUUCUAA